GUGUGUGUGUGUGUGUGUGUGUAUACAUCCUAGAACUCUUCAUUUCCUGCCUCUGCCUCACAGUACUGGAAUUAUAGGCUACGAAGCAAGUUUGAGGCCAGCCUGAGUCACAUGAAGUUUUGAAGAGAAAGAGUUAAGAGAGAACACUCCACUGAGCUAUAAGCACUCCUACUCACAGGUUGAAAAACACUUGAAUAAGUCUCUUAGAAGGAAUGUUAGCGUUGAAGUAUAUAUAUCUCAGUGAUAAAAAGCAUUGUGGUUGUUAGCUUUGAUCCUUAUAACAAAAUAAGAAAAGCAAGGGACAGAUUUAUUUUGCUCAAGUUUUAGCCCAUGGUCAACUGACUCCAUUGCUUUUAGACCUGUAACAAGGCAGAACAUGAUGGCAGAAAAAAGCUGUUCAGCCUCAGGGAGCAACUAGGAGGCACAAAGAUACGCAGGUCAGGGACAAGAUGCAGCCUGUGGAUGAGGCUGACAUCCUCAGGUGCAGCCACCUCACAACACCCCCAGGUGGUGGUGUUUCGACACAGGAUAUAUUUCAUAUCCAAACUAAAGUAAGAUAGUGUUCAGCAUGUGUAACAUCCGACAUCAGGAUGAGUGAGGGUGCUAGAGUUAGAAAAUCACCAUUUUUAAAUGCACAGUUGAUAAGUUUUAUUUAUAGUUAGCUGUUGUUUUGGGACGGUCUUGUUCUACAGCCCACAAACUUAGGUUCCUCCAGCCAAGCCUACCAGGUACUGGGAGACAGAUGCCAACCACCAUGCUGCCAUUCUGAAACAGUUUAAUAAACGUUAUUAUAGCAAAUAACUUCCUAGCUUAUGCUUUCAAAUAAGAUAUAAUGAAAGGCAUUAAUACUAACAGACUUUACACCUUUUUUAAAAAGUCUAUCAAAUAAAUUCAACAUUCAGUUUAUACAUUUUAGAAUUAUUUUUAUUGAAUGAGUUUUAACAACAUUGCAAAGUCACCAUGAAUGCUGUCCCUCAGUCACCUGCAUGUUUGUAGUUGCAUAUAGUUGAGCUUUUGACAUCACAUGAUCAAGCAAACAGCAGUGAAUACUCUAUUAUUCAAAAAGACUUUAUGCAUUUCAUUAAAAAAUCAUUUUGCAAGUGGUUUCAGCUUUAUCAACAAUCUCAUUUGACACAUUCCAUACUUCAUGCUCUCAAAAUAGAAGUGGCCUAAAACUAAGGGGUAUUUUCUUGUUACUAACAUUAAUGAAUACCAUUCAGGUCUACAGAACUAAAGUUUAACAUUUUACAUUAUAAGCAGCAAUAAUUUACUGAUAUCUGGUAACAAAUUCCACUAAAAAUGAAUACAUCCCGUUACAUUCAAAAAAGACAUUUUGUAAAUUGUAAUAUGCAGUUUUAUAUGCUGCAGUGCAAAAGCAGUAACACCCACCCACCUGAUGUUUCCUGAGCGUUAGGAAAUUAACAAUGUGCUGACCACCACUCUCGGAUUUAACAUAGGUUCAUUACUAUGCAAAUUCAUGUCAAAAUAUACAAUUAAAUUAGCUUUUUGGAGAAAUGAAAAAGCUUAGCCAGUUAUGAUUGGUUAGAGUAAUAAGAACAUUAUCGAAGCCAAAGUAUUUACAGUGCUACAAAGGGUUUGCUGGAUCUGCCUGUAGAACAAAGGUCAGAGAACCUAGUUACCAACUGUCCCUUUUCUUUCAAAACAGUACACUGAAAGAUAUUCUGGUAAGCUACUUAGCAUUAAAUAUACCAACUUAUAUAACAUUUUAAUAUACCCUUCCAUAAUGCCCAGUACAAAGGAAUAAAUGAGAAAAAAGGAUGAAAAUCAAGAGAAUCAACAUGCUUUGCGGAAUGUUUUGAAUGUGUGUGCAUCAAGUGAGAAUAACUUCUCAUUAGAGCUCUGUGUCCUCAGAACUACAAAGAGCGAGUUUCUACUUCAAUCUUUUCCUCUGCUUGGAGUACAUCAGGGUCAACAUGAACAACUGGAGGUCGGAGGAUAACUUCAGGCCCCCCACCAUAUAUAGACUGCAGGAAAUUCCAUGUUUCUUCUGAAAUUUGACCAGAGUCUGCUCCUAAAAUUGUAUGUAUGCAAAAAGAAUGAUAUUUACAAACAUGAAUCUUAAUAUAGCUUUUACAGUAUAUCCAACAGAGAAAUCCUCUAUGGAGGACUGAGAAUUCUGAAACCUUCAGAUUAUCAGCUUGUAUGCUAUAAAAAACAAUAUGGAGACGGUUUCCAAAUGUCUAGAGAUCCAUUUUCCAAGCUCCAACAACCCUAAAACCUUCCUAAAAAUAAGAAAUUUUUACCCUUUCUGUUACUGUAAGCCUGACCAUUUCUGAACUAGGUAAAUAAAUUACAUAAUAGCUGGUUAUUUUUUUUUUAAUCAAUAAGAACUCAUUAACAAAAGUUUCAAUAUUAAAGCAUGAUGGUAUACACCAGUAAUACCAACAGUUGGGAAGAAAAGACAGAAUCACAAGUUAAACCUCUCCGCUGCAUUCAAGGACAGCCUAGAGGCCAUGCUACCGUGUCUCAGGACAAAGCAAUCCUGUGUGUCUUAAACUUACCUUGCUUGAGCAUCACACUGCCACAUUUAGUAACCGCAAUUUUAGUGUUGUCGAUUGGACCUGGGGGAUCUAAGUCAAAAGGAUAAAAAGAUUAUAACAUGUCCACUUCCAAAUGCAGCAAAGAACUACAUGGCUUUAUACCUGAAAUUACGGAGAACUAACCAAAUGUCAUCGAUUCUUAGUAUCUUUUCAGCUUUGGAGAUUUCAUUUGACCCCAAACAACCAAGAAAGGUGAGAUGUUGCUCAGCACCAAAGUAUAAUAGAAACAAUUUAUCUUUAAUGAUUAAUUUUUUUUAUUUUAUGUACACUGGUGCUAUUGUCUGUAUAUGUGAUGGUAUCAGAUCCUCUGGAACUGGUGUUACAGUUGUGAGCGACCAUGUGGGUGCUGGGAAUUGAACCCAAGUCCUUUGGAAGAGCAGCCAGUACUCUUAACCAGUGAGCCAACUCUCCAGUCUUCUAGAAAAACCACUUGUUUGGGAAUUGUAGAUCAAAAUAUUUUGUUAAUGCUACAGCCCUUUAAUGAACAACAACUCUUUAAUAAGCUUAAAAACAAAAAC
rnacentral:lncRNA from 1 species